rnacentral:rRNA from 1 species
CCUACGGGAGGCAGCAGUGGGGAAUCUUGGACAAUGGGCGCAAGCCUGAUCCAGCCAUGCCGCGUGAGUGAUGAAGGCCUUAGGGUCGUAAAGCUCUUUCGCCAGGGAUGAUAAUGACAGUAUCUGGUAAAGAAACCCCGGCUAACUCCGUGCCAGCAGCCGCGGUAAUACGGAGGGGGUUAGCGUUGUUCGGAAUUACUGGGCGUAAAGCGCACGUAGGCGGACCAUUAAGUUGGGGGUGAAAUCCCGGGGCUCAACCCCGGAACUGCCUCCAAAACUGCUGGUCUUGAGUUCGAGAGAGGUGAGUGGAAUUCCGAGUGUAGAGGUGAAAUUCGUAGAUAUUCGGAGGAACACCAGUGGCGAAGGCGGCUCACUGGCUCGAUACUGACGCUGAGGUGCGAAAGUGUGGGGAGCAAACAGGAUUAGAUACCCUGGUAGUCCACACCGUAAACGAUGAAUGCCAGUCGUCGGGUAGCAUGCUAUUCGGUGACACACCUUAAGCAUUCCGCCUGGGGAGUACGGUCGCAAGAUUAAAACUCAAAGGAAUUGACGG